UUUCCGUAGGAGAACCUGCGGAAGGAUCAUUAAUGUGUUUGGGCCUCACGGCUCUUCAUUCCGACGCUGUGCGCUUUCGGGCUGCACGCGGAGGGAGCAUAUAUCCACCCCUGUGCACACACACGGUGGCGAGCUGGCUAACGGCUCGCCGCUGAUCUUUACACACGUCUAAAAGUCAUUGUAUGUUUAUUUGAGAUAAAAACACAACUUUCAGCAACGGAUCUAUUGGCUCUCGCACCGAUGAAGAACGCAGCAGAUCGGAAGUGCACACAUCUGUAC
rnacentral:misc_RNA from 1 species